UACAGAGGUCCCAAGCGUUGUUCGGAUUCACUGGGCGUAAAGGGUGCGUAGGUGGCCAGGUAAGUUCGGUGUGAAAGCUCGGAGCUUAACUCCGAAAUGUCAUUGAAUACUAUCUGGCUUGAGGGUCGGAGGGGAGACUGGAAUUCUCGGUGUAGCAGUGAAAUGCGUAGAUAUCAGGAGGAAUACCGAUGGCGAAGGCAGGUCUCUGGGCUAUAACUGACGCUCAUGCACGAAAGCGUGGGGAGCAAACAGG
rnacentral:rRNA from 1 species